rnacentral:rRNA from 1 species
CCUACGGGAGGCAGCAGUGAGGAAUAUUGGUCAAUGGGCGCGAGCCUGAACCAGCCAAGUAGCGUGAAGGAUGACUGCCCUACGGGUUGUAAACUUCUUUUAUAAAGGAAUAAAGUGAGGCACGUGUGCCUUUUUGUAUGUACUUUAUGAAUAAGGAUCGGCUAACUCCGUGCCAGCAACCGCGGUAAUACGGAGGAUCCGAGCUGUAACCGGAUUUAAUGGGGUUAAAGGGAGCGGAGAUGGGUUGGUAAGUCAGUUGUGAAAGUUUGGGGCUCAAACGUCAAAUUGCAGUUGAUACUGGCAGUAUUGAGUACAGGUGAGGUAGGCGGAAUUCGUGGUGUAGCGGUGAAAUGCUUAGAUAUCACGAAGAACUCCGAUUGCGAAGGCAGCUUACCAAACUGCCACUGACAUUGAUGCUCGAAAGUGUGGGUAUCAAACAGGAUUAGAUACCCCUGUAGUC